AGAGUUUGAUCCUGGCUCAGAACGAACGCUGGCGGCAGGCUUAACACAUGCAAGUCGAACGCUCGUAGCAAUACGGGAGUGGCAGACGGGUGAGUAACGCGUGGGAACAUACCCUCCGGUUCGGAAUAGCUCAGGGAAACUUGGAUUAAUACCGGAUACGGCUGAGAGGCGAAAGAUUUAUCGCCGGAGGAUUGGCCCGCGUUCGAUUAGCUUGUUGGUGAGGUAACGGCUCACCAAGGCGAUGAUCGAUAGCUGGUCUGAGAGGAUGAUCAGCCACAUUGGGACUGAGACACGGCCCAAACUCCUACGGGAGGCAGCAGUGGGGAAUAUUGGACAAUGGGCGCAAGCCUGAUCCAGCCAUGCCGCGUGAGUGAUGACGGCCUUAGGGUUGUAAAGCUCUUUCGCUCGGGACGAUAAUGACGGUACCGAGAUAAGAAGCCCCGGCUAACUUCGUGCCAGCAGCCGCGGUAAUACGAAGGGGGCUAGCGUUGUUCGGAAUUACUGGGCGUAAAGCGCGUGUAGGCGGGUCUUUAAGUCAGGGGUGAAAUGCCAAGGCUCAACCUUGGAACUGCCUUUGAUACUGGAGACCUUGAGUCCGGGAGAGGUGAGUGGAAUUGCGAGUGUAGAGGUGAAAUUCGUAGAUAUUCGCAAGAACACCAGUGGCGAAGGCGGCUCACUGGCCCGGAACUGACGCUGAGACGCGAAAGCGUGGGGAGCAAACAGGAUUAGAUACCCUGGUAGUCCACGCUGUAAACGAUGGAUGCUAGCCGUUGGGGAGCUUGCUCUUCAGUGGCGCAGCUAACGCUUUAAGCAUCCCGCCUGGGGAGUACGGUCGCAAGAUUAAAACUCAAGGAAUUGACGGGGGCCCGCACAAGCGGUGGAGCAUGUGGUUUAAUUCGAAGCAACGCGCAGAACCUUACCAGCUUUUGACAUGUCCUGACGGAUUGCAGAGAUGCGAUCUCCCUUCGGGCCGGGAACACAGGUGCUGCAUGGCUGUCGUCAGCUCGUGUCGUG
rnacentral:rRNA from 1 species